rnacentral:rRNA from 1 species
UGGGGAAUAUUGCACAAUGGGCGCAAGCCUGAUGCAGCCAUGCCGCGUGUAUGAAGAAGGCCUUCGGGUUGUAAAGUACUUUCAGCGAGGAGGAAGGCGUUGUGGUUAAUAACCGCAACGAUUGACGUUACUCGCAGAAGAAGCACCGGCUAACUCCGUGCCAGCAGCCGCGGUAAUACGGAGGGUGCAAGCGUUAAUCGGAAUUACUGGGCGUAAAGCGCACGCAGGCGGUCUGUCAAGUCGGAUGUGAAAUCCCCGGGCUCAACCUGGGAACUGCAUCCGAAACUGGCAGGCUAGAGUCUUGUAGAGGGGGGUAGAAUUCCAGGUGUAGCGGUGAAAUGCGUAGAGAUCUGGAGGAAUACCGGUGGCGAAGGCGGCCCCCUGGACAAAGACUUACGCUCAGGUGCGAAAGCGUGGGGAGCAAACA